rnacentral:tRNA from 1 species
GGCUUCUUAGCUCAGUUGGUAGAGCACUGCACUGGUAUUGGAGAGGUCAUGGGUUCAAAUCCCAUACAGGCCU